rnacentral:rRNA from 1 species
UGGCCGCGGUACUCUGACCGUGCANAGGUAGCAUAAUCAUUNGUUUUUUAAUUGAAAGCUGGAAUGAAUGGUUGGAUGAAAAAAUAACUGUCUCUAUUUAAAUUUUUUAGAAUUUUAUUUUUAAGUAAAAAAGCUUAAAUUUUGUUAGAAGACGAGAAGACCCUAUAGAGUUUUAUUAAUUUUUUUUAUUUAAUUUUUAGGAUUAAAAUUUUUUUGAUNAAAAUUAAUUUAAUUGGGGUGAUUGAAAAAUUUNAUAAACUUUUUUUGUAUUUAAACAUUUUUUUAUGAAUAUUUGAUCCUUUUUUAAAGAUUAAAAGAUACAAUUACCUUAGGGAUAACAGCGUAAUUUUCUUAAAGAGUUCUAAUCGAAAAGAAAGAUUGCGACCUCNAUGUUGGAUUAAAAUAAA